rnacentral:rRNA from 1 species
AUUGAACGCUGGCGGCAGGCUUAACACAUGCAAGUCGAACGAGUGGCGGACGGGUGAGUAAUGUCUGGGAAACUGCCUGCUGGAGGGGGAUAACUACUGGAAACGGUAGCUAAUACCGCAUACCAUCGGAUGUGCCCAGAUGGGAUUAGCUAGUAGGUGGGGUAAAGGCUCACCUAGGCGACGCUCCCUAGCUGGUCUGAGAGGAUGACAAGCCACACGGGAACUGAGACACGGUCCAGACUCCUACGGGAGGCAGCAGUGGGGAAUAUUGCACAAUGGGCGCAAGCAUGAGACAGCCAUGCCGAGUGUAUGAAGAAGGCCUUCGGGUUGUAAAGUACUUUCAGCGGGGAGGCGUUACUCGCAGAAGAAGCACCGGCUAACUCCGUGCCAGCAGCCGCGGUAAUUC